UACGUAGGUGGCAAGCGUUGUCCGGAUUUAUUGGGUUUAAAGGGUGCGUAGGCGGCCCUGUAAGUCAGUGGUGAAAUACUCCAGCUUAACUGGAGGGGUGCCAUUGAUACUGCAGGGCUUGAGUGGAGUCGAGGUAGGCGGAAUUGACGGUGUAGCGGUGAAAUGCUUAGAUAUCGUCAAGAACACCGAUAGUGUAGACAGCUUACUAGGCUUCAACUGACGCUGAGGCACGAAAGUGUGGGGAUCAAACAGG
rnacentral:rRNA from 1 species